CUACGGGGUGCAGCAGUGGGGAAUAUUGGACAAUGGGGGAAACCCUGAACCAGCAAUGCCGCGUGUGUGAAGAAGGCCUGCGGGUUGUAAAGCACUUUCGGUUGGGAGGACUGCUUCUAGCACUAAUAUUGUUGGAAGUUGACGUUACCUUCAGAAAAAGCACCGGCUAACUCCGUGCCAGCAGCCGCGGUAAUACGGAGGUGCAAGCGUUAAUCGGAAUUACUGGGCGUAAAGCGCGCGUAGGCGGCUAGAUCAGUCGGGUGUGAAAGCCCCGGGCUUAACCUGGGAACUGCAUCCGAUACUGUCUAGCUUGAGUACAGGAGAGGAGAGUGGAAUUCCACAUGUAGCGGUGAAAUGCGUAGAUAUGUGGAGGAACACCAAUGGCGAAGGCAGCUCUCUGGCCUGAUACUGACGCUGAGGUGCGAAAGCGUGGGGAGCAAACAGGAUUAGAUACCCCUGUAGUC
rnacentral:rRNA from 1 species